UCAUUUUGUUGGGGCAAACUCUUUCUUGG
rnacentral:piRNA from 1 species